GACGAACGCUGGCUGCGUGCUUAACACAUGCAAGUCGAACGCUGAAGCCCCAGCUUGCUGGGGUGGAUGAGUGGCGAACGGGUGAGUAACACGUGAGUAACCUGCCCCUGACUUCGGGAUAAGCCCGGGAAACUGGGUCUAAUACCGGAUACGACCAUCGGACGCAUGUCUGGUGGUGGAAAGUUUUUUCGGUUGGGGAUGGGCUCGCGGCCUAUCAGUUUGUUGGUGAGGUAAUGGCUCACCAAGACGACGACGGGUAGCCGGCCUGAGAGGGCGACCGGCCACACUGGGACUGAGACACGGCCCAGACUCCUACGGGAGGCAGCAGUGGGGAAUAUUGCACAAUGGGGGAAACCCUGAUGCAGCGACGCAGCGUGCGGGAUGACGGCCUUCGGGUUGUAAACCGCUUUCAGCAGGGAAGAAGCCUCACGGUGACGGUACCUGCAGAAGAAGUACCGGCUAACUACGUGCCAGCAGCCGCGGUAAUACGUAGGGUACGAGCGUUGUCCGGAAUUAUUGGGCGUAAAGAGCUCGUAGGUGGUUGGUCACGUCUGCUGUGGAAACGCAACGCUUAACGUUGCGCGUGCAGUGGGUACGGGCUGACUAGAGUGCAGUAGGGGAGUCUGGAAUUCCUGGUGUAGCGGUGAAAUGCGCAGAUAUCAGGAGGAACACCGGUGGCGAAGGCGGGACUCUGGGCUGUAACUGACACUGAGGAGCGAAAGCAUGGGGAGCGAACAGG
rnacentral:rRNA from 1 species